rnacentral:rRNA from 1 species
AUUAACGCGAAGAACCUUACCUGGUCUUGACAUCCACAGAACUUUCCAGAGAUGGAUUGGUGCCUUCGGGAACUGUGAGACAGGUGCUGCAUGGCUGUCGUCAGCUCGUGUUGUGAAAUGUUGGGUUAAGUCCCGCAACGAGCGCAACCCUUAUCUUUUGUUGCCAGCGGUCCGGCCGGGAACUCAAAGGAGACUGCCAGUGAUAAACUGGAGGAAGGUGGGGAUGACGUCAAGUCAUCAUGGCCCUUACGACCAGGGCUACACACGUGCUACAAUGGCGCAUACAAAGAGAAGCGACCUCGCGAGAGCAAGCGGACCUCAUAAAGUGCGUCGUAGUCCGGAUUGGAGUCUGCAACUCGACUCCAUGAAGUCGGAAUCGCUAGUAAUCGUGGAUCAGAAUGCCACGGUGAAUACGUUCCCGGGCCUUGUACACACCGAAU